AUUUAUUAGAGCAGCUGUCGAUGUGGGCAGGUGUUCAUAAAACGUGAUUUUUAUAGUUUUGCGUGACUCCUUUUUCAUUGCCCGGGAUUUAGCAGGCAGACGCAGCUUCUGCAAUGGUCGACAUUAACUGCUCCCAGCAGCGGAUCUGAUUAACACGAUACCAAAGUGAUUUUGUUACCUGUGGAUCUUCAAACUUCACAUCCAGAGUUGUGAGGAAUCAGAGGUGCAUGCGGCUGCCCACGGGAAAAAUUUGCCAUCAGCCCAACACAGUUUGGAUUAUCAUAGGACUGUCAGAGGUUUGCCAAACCUGUCAAAUGCAUGAUGGCUCCUGUUUGGACUUACCGAUGUCCUCGACUUCAAGUAUCCAUCAAAACUGUAUACAUUUGAGAUAUAUUAGAGACUCUUUGUGGGACUGGACAUUAUGCAUCCUAAAUCUUCAUCAAAAUAUGCAAAUCUCCUCACUGAGUUGCCUUGGAUGAUUUCUCAAUAGGAUCUGGUAUUAUUAAUGUUUUUAUUUAUGUAUUGUGUAUGUGUAGCCACAUUAAUGGCCUAUUUUGUAGUCACUAUUAAAAGGAACAUCGAUUGAUAUUGAA
rnacentral:lncRNA from 1 species